UGGCUAUUUUUUUUAUUUUAUUAAUAAAAAUAAAAUAAUUUAUGAAUUCAAAAUCCAAAUCAAAAGAAACGAUUUGAUUUAAGCAUGCGAUAUUCGAUUUCUCUUAUCUGACUUCUCAUAUUAUUCACGACGUGGUUUAAGAAGCUAUGCCUCAAAUCUCGAUUUUCAUAUUUUCAUCAUUUUGGUUGUGUUCGGAGAAGAAGAAGAAGAACGAGCGACAGGAGGCCUGUACCGGAAGAGAUCGUCCAUGGGAGACGCUGGAGGGAGAGCACCGUCAUGGGUUCUGGUUUUGUUCUGGGUUAAACGAACGGGUUCGAAAAUCUUCAAGCCAAAUUUCUAUAUCUCCAUUUUCCCCAAUUUCUAAGCACCGACGACGAAUUAGGUUUUUGUUCAUUUGGCUAAUUCGACCAGAUAUCGGUCGGAUCAAAUGUAUUGUCACCAGAGUAUCCGAUUGUAUGACGCCAGCGCCAAUGUGCUUCGAAGUGAGUUCAGGCACGGCGGUGCCGUUCUCGACUGUUGCUUCCACGAUGAUUCUUCCGGGUUUAGUGCCGGCGCCGACAAUACAGUGAGACAGUGAGACGGCUUGUUUUUAACUACAAUAAGGAGGACAUUCUAGGUUGACAUGAUGCACCUGUACGGUGUGUUGAGUACUCUUAUGCAGCAGGUCAGUUGAUUACAGGAAGUUGGGACAAAACACUGAAGUGUUGGGACCCUUAGAGGAGCAAGUGGGCAGGAGCGCACCCUUGUUGGGACAUAUGCUCAACCUGAGCAUGUAUACUCUCUUUCAUUAGCUGGAAAUCGUUUAGUUGUUACAGUGUUUCUCUUACUACUUGUACAUUGGUCGUGUUUUAUUUUCAUGCUGUCUACUUUUAAAUUUUAUGGAUGUAUAUGGCUAAGCAACUUUGGUUAUUGUAUUAUCAUUGCUGAUACAUAGUUGAGUAUUUUUAGCUUUACACUGUGAAAUUUCGUUAAAGGCUAGAUGAAUGCUAAUACAUGAUGGUUUCCGAGAUUGAAAACAGAUGGAGAUAUACAACUUCCUACUAUUGCAAUA